rnacentral:rRNA from 1 species
GAUGAACGCUGGCGGCGUGCCUAAUACAUGCAAGUCGAGCGAACAGACGAGGAGCUUGCUCCUCUGACGUUAGCGGCGGACGGGUGAGUAACACGUGGAUAACCUACCUAUAAGACUGGGAUAACUUCGGGAAACCGGAGCUAAUACCGGAUAAUAUAUUGAACCGCAUGGUUCAAUAGUGAAAGACGGUUUUGCUGUCACUUAUAGAUGGAUCCGCGCCGCAUUAGCUAGUUGGUAAGGUAACGGCUUACCAAGGCGACGAUGCGUAGCCGACCUGAGAGGGUGAUCGGCCACACUGGAACUGAGACACGGUCCAGACUCCUACGGGAGGCAGCAGUAGGGAAUCUUCCGCAAUGGGCGAAAGCUUGACGGAGCAACGCCGCGUGAGUGAUGAAGGUCUGCGGAUCGUAAAACUCUGUUAUUAGGGAAGAACAAAUGUGUAAGUAACGAUGCACGUCUUGACGGUACCUAAGCAGAAAGCCACGGCUAACUACGU